ACCCGCACAAGCGGUGGAUGAUGUGGAUUAAUUCGAUGCAACGCGAAAAACCUUACCUACCCUUGACAUGGAAGGAAUCCCGGAGAGAUCUGGGAGUGCCCGAAAGGGAGCCUUCACACAGGUGCUGCAUGGCUGUCGUCAGCUCGUGUCGUGAGAUGUUGGGUUAAGUCCCGCAACGAGCGCAACCCUUGUCAUUAGUUGCUACGCAAGAGCACCCUAAUGAGACUGCCGGUGACAAACCGGAGGAAGGUGGGGAUGACGUCAAGUCCUCAUGGCCCUUAUGGGUAGGGCUUCACACGUCAUACAAUGGUACAUACAGAGGGCCGCCAACCCGCGAGGGGGAGCUAAUCCCAGAAAGUGUAUCGUAGUCCGGAUUGUAGUCUGCAACUCGACUACAUGAAGUUGGAAUCGCUAGUAAUCGCGGAUCAGCAUGUCGCGGUGAAUACGUUCCCGGGUCUUGUACACACCGCCCGUCACACCAUGGGAGCGGGUUUUACCAGAAGUAGGUAGCUUAACCGCAAGGAGGGCGCUUACCACGGUAGGAUUCGUGACUGGGGUGAAGUCGUAACAAGGUAGCCGUAGGGGAACCUGCGGCUGGAUCA
rnacentral:rRNA from 1 species